CCUACGGGAGGCAGCAGUGGGGAAUAUUGGGCAAUGGAGGAAACUCUGACCCAGCAAUGCCGCGUGAAUGAAGAAGGUCUUCGGAUUGUAAAGUUCUUUAGUCAGGGAAGAAUAAAAUGACGGUAACUGAAGAAAAAGCAUAGGCUAACUCCGUGCCAGCAGCCGCGGUAAUACGGGGGAUGAGAGCGUUAUACGGAUUUGGUGGGCUUAAAGGGUGCGCAGGCGGAGGCGGGAAGGCAGCGGUAAAAUUGCGGGGCUCAACCUCGCCGAGCCGUUGAAACUGCUCUUCUUGAGUGGGCGAGAGGUAUGCGGAAUGCGUGGUGUAGCGGUGAAAUGCAUAGAUAUCACGCAGAACUCCGAUUGCGAAGGCAGCAUACCGGCGCCCAACUGACGCUCAUGCACGAAAGCGUGGGUAUCGAACAGGAUUAGAUACCCUAGUAGUC
rnacentral:rRNA from 1 species